GACCUGAGGAAGUCUCAUCCCCUCUGGCUCGCCUCCUCAGACUUAAUCCUGGAACUGCCUAGGGCUGGUGAGCGGCAGACAGUUCUGUCACCUCUGCCAACGGGGACCGGAUGUGACCGUUUGCUGCCUGGCAGGUCUCAAGCGCUCAGGUUUUCAGUGGGCCCCUGAGGUGGCAGUGUGUAUAAAGGAAGCAACUGGGACUUGUGGCGCACCCUCUAAGGAUAAAAAAGUAUUAAAAAUAUGGAACUACCAUGUAUGUUACGUGAAGAAGAACAAGAGCC